rnacentral:rRNA from 1 species
GUCUGUUGCCAUGCCACCCUCAACAAGCCUGAUCCCGUCUGACCUCGGAAGCUUUUCAGGAUCGGGCCUGGUUAGUACUUGGAUGGGAGACCACCUAGGAAGACCAAGUGCUAUAGGUG